rnacentral:lncRNA from 1 species
AGCCUUAGUAAUAUUAAUUUUUAAAAAGUUGUUUAGCUACAUUCUUCCGAUGACUAGCAUAAUGACUGCAUAAGACAGAGAGAGAGGGCGAGCAGAGACAGUGUGUGUCAGCCUGUAGGAAGUUAGGACCAUAAAGGAAGUGGGGAGGGGUCUAGCAAAGACAGCAUCAUCAUCUCUGAGGACUCCUGGAAUGGUUCAGGGCAGUUCAGUUGGACACAAGUUUGCCUCGGAGUGUUUUCCUUUUGUCAAUAAUUAAUCACUGGAAUCAACCUGGCAAGACUGGAGUUUUAACAACAGUGCAGAGGGUGAGUCAGAAGAAACACCUCGGGCUGAUAAAUCCAUCGGUAACUCCAAGCAGCAGGAAGCCAGUGUCCACACUGCUCAUCAGCCCACAGGGUCAUCCACUCCGAACAAGAGAAUUGUCCCUUAAGAAAAUAUGUACCUAUGAAUACAUGGAAAUCCUAGUGAGAGACAGCUUGGCAUCAGGAUGGAGGUACCCUCAACAGUAACUAGGUUUGAAUCCCAUCUUUGACAGCUGUGACAUCAAGGGUCCA